rnacentral:rRNA from 1 species
UACGUAGGGUCCGAGCGUUGUCCGGAAUUACUGGGCGUAAAGAGCUCGUAGGUGGUUUGUCGCGUUGUUCGUGAAAACUCACAGCUCAACUGUGGGCGUGCGGGCGAUACGGGCAGACUGGAGUACUGCAGGGGAGACUGGAAUUCCUGGUGUAGCGGUGGAAUGCGUAGAGAUCGGGAAGAACAUCAGUGGCGAAGGCGGCCUGCUGGGCUGUUGCUGACGCUGAGGCGCGACAGCGUGGGGAGCAAACAGG